rnacentral:lncRNA from 1 species
UCCCGACUAGGUACUCUUUGGUUUGGUUUAAAGCUUUGUAUAGACAACUGUAGAGUUGGGAAUGGUAUGGAUUGGUUAUGUCAUAUAUAUAUACACAUAUUGGAUUAUUGUCCUGGUUUUAGUUUAUGGUUUUGGGUUGGGUUGGAUUAGUUGACUGUUGGUGGGAUUGACUAGGUUGGGUUGACCUCGGAUAUAGGCUUUUC